UUCUUUAUGAAUUUUAUAUAAAGUAAUUUCUGCCCAAUGAAUAAUUUUAUUUAAAUGGCUGCAGUAUAUUGACUGUACAAAGGUAGCAUAGUAAUUAGUUUUUUAAUUGGGAACUUGUAUGAAAGGAUACAUGAGAAAUUCUCUUUAUUAAUUUUAUAAUUAAAAUUUUAUUUUUUGGUAAAAAAGCUAAAUUGUUUUUUAGGGACGAUAAGACCCUAUAGAAUUUAAAAUUUAUUUUAAUUUAAAUAUUUUUUAGGUUAAAUUUAUUUUUUUUAAUUUAAAUUUUUAAUUGGGGUGAUUAAUAAAUUCUAUAUCUUUUUUUUAAAAAUUCAUAUAUAUAUGUUUGUUUUGAUCCUUAAAUUUAAGAUUGUAAGAUAAAUUACCUUAGGGAUAACAGCGUAAUUUUAAUGGGAAGUUCAUAUUUAAAUUAAAGUUUGCGACCUCGAUGUUGAAUUAAGAGUAAUUUAUGGUGUAGAUGCUAUGAUUUUAAGUCUGUUCGACUUUUACAAUCUUACA
rnacentral:rRNA from 1 species